UUUGCGUCAGUGGGUUGAUUUAGCUGUGCCAGCCCCCAUUACCUAAUUCUAACUUGUUGCAAUAUGACCUUGUUCCCAUAACUUUUUAGCUGAACAAGCAGUUCGCACCUGGGCUCUGGGCGCUGGGCUGCGCCAUUCUUGUUACAAUUUAUGUUUCAAAUGUUGUGCGAGUCCUUGAGAAAAUGUCUUUCUUUCCCGGAAAGAAAAAAAGCACACUGGGUUGCUGUGAUUUAUUCGCAUUUGUGGAUAAUUAAAAAAUGUCUGUCUGCAGAAAGCAAUCUUAUCUUGAAUGUGCGGCCUUGGCAGGUCGGAUGUUUUGCUGAAGGCUUCUGCAGCCAGUGUUCAGUGAGGGAAAUGAACUUGGCUGUAAUUUUCCUGAAACAUGGCUUUACACUGUGCAUUUAGACCAUGUUAAUUCAUAUAGGCAUUUGCAAGCCUUUAAACAGGGAUUUUUGUGUUUGUAGAUUCUGAUAUUGCAGCAUUGAUUCUAAUGUAGCAUGGAAGUUGCACUGUUGGUGAAGUGGGUGUGUUUCAGCAUAUUUGUCACCCAUGGGUGCGCUGGGGCCUGGUUCAAAUGAUAAGUGCGCUCCUUGUUCUUCCUGCUGUUCUUCUAUAUAUGCGCUUGGGGUGAGGGGGCAUGGGUUUGGUCUCGAUUUUCCCUCUUCACCAGUGUGCCACUUUUGGUACACAGGACUGGCGCUGCAGGGUGAACUGAACGCCAGGUUAAGGCACAUUAUGCUGACGCUCAUCAGGCCCCAGAAAAGGUGUUGGUUGAUACAGAUAGCAGAACAGUGGUCAUGGAUGUCAGAAUCUUCUAAGGAGUUUGUAACAACUCAACUGGCCUUUGCAAUGGAUGGUGCUGGAGCAUCGGGCCCAUACCCAACCGCUGCCGGUGCUGAAAGCUGCAGGGGAUAGGCUGUGAUGAGUAGGAGGGUUGCUUCAAUGUUCAGAGUAUCCUGGGGCGAUGGCCCGGGUGGAAACACUGCAGGUGCAGAUCUUGGUGGAAGUAGCAAAUAUUCAAAUGAGAACUAUGAAUGCCACAGUGGAGGAGGGUCUCUUGUGAACAUCUGGUGAACCUGAGUCAGUUGUUCCUAAGAGAUGGUCAAGAGGCCUUCAGAAGGGUCAGUCAAUGGCAUCCAUUUCCCUCAAUUGGUCAAAAUGGAGUCAGAUUCAGAUCCCUGAACCUAGAGUGGCAUAGACAGGGCACCCUUGUGGCAUCCAUUGCAGUAACGCAAAGGUUCCUAGAAAUAUGACAUGCAGCCUGGGGAGAGUUACAUUUUCUUUGUGAAGGGCAAUGCACCCUGGAAUGGGUUUUUCCCUGAGAGAAGCGCCAAAGCCCUGGCAAGCAUUGUGGCUCGGGUGCCAUACUGUGAGCUCUCGCUGGUCCUUAUAAAUCCUGGAGAGAUAGUUUAAAUUUGCUAGAUUGGAACAAUGUAGGUAAGGGAAGUCGGCAAGUCAAAUCCAUAACUUUAGUAUAAGGCUCUAAGUGCUGGGUGGGUCAGGCUAGUUCAUGUAGCAGGGCUGGCCAUGCACCAUGGCUGGAUGAGGCAUCUCGACCGCCGGUGGCCCCGCAAGCUCUAGACGUGAGCCAGACACUUCCUGUGGAUUGCCGCAACUGGGGUGUUGACCUCUAUCUGGUCCCCUCUGAAGGGUUCAGAGCUGCCGUUCUUCCUAACCGAUGCCUGGCUGACUUAGAACUGGUUCAGACCAGGGCAAUCUGAUGGUUUAUUUGAAACAAGGCAACAGAAAGGCCUGCGGCUGGUGUUGGCACAUAGGGAUUUCUACCCAGUGCUCUGAAUGUCAAAGUGAAGAAAUUCAAUAAAGCGUACGUAAAUAGUGGAAGUAACUUACACUCUCUUAAUGUGGUCAAAUGCCAAGUCAUCUCAUUGGUGGGAUGCACGAAUGCAUGAAUGGAUGAAUGGUGUUCCUACUGUCCCUACCUACUUUCUAAUAAACUGCAACCAAGCUGAUGGCUUGGCAUACUCAGCGGGGAUAGGAGACCCUGUUGAGCUUCACUCUAGUCUGACACUCUGUGGAGACAUGAGAAGUGUAGGAUAGUUGGGAGGCCCUCAAGCGGGUGGUGAAACACCACUACUGUUAUAAUUUUUUCCCUUACCCAGUGAGGCAAGCCCCAUGGGGCUGUCACUUCUGGCUCAAAGCACUCGACUCCAGCUAGGCGUGACCCGCUCCAGGAACAUUGGCAGGUGGGGAUCUUGAUUGGGGCAGUGCACCUGUCCUACGAUAAUGCAAGUGUCCUAGGGCAAGCUCAGGGAGGACAGAAAAAACCCACGGAGCAGGAAGGAUAAAACCUUGCUGGAUCUCAAUUUUCUUUAUGAAGCCUCACAAACCUUAUGACUUUUAGGUUUCCAGCAGGAAGUGUCAGAAAAUGACCACAUGUAUAACUGUCUUGCUGCAGCAAAGCAUUCAUAGCAAUGUUGCAUUUUGAGCAUUCCAUGUCAGCUUUUCCUUUCAUUGUCAAGCUGAAUUCAUAAAACUUUGCAUUGUUCACCAACAAAUAGGAAACGUGAACAGGGUUUAGACCAUCCUGGGACAGGUUUGUUUUAACUACUGAUAAUGUGCUGUUGCAAAAGUAAUCCUGCUCAGUACGAGAGGAACUGCAUGUGCAGGCAUUUGGUGUAUGUGCUUGGCUAAGGAGGCAACGGGGCGAAGCUGCCAUCUGUGGGAGUAUUACUGAAUGAAUCUAAGUAAGAAUCCCUUAAAUUGUAAUGGUAAUGCAGCACUGUGGAGCAUCAGUUGGCCUAGAAUAGCUAGCCUCUGGGCCAGUUCAUAGAGGUGCUUGCCUCAGGACUGGAGUGUGGACUAAGGGGAAAAUAUCUCUUGCCCCUAGCGCACCACAUUUUCAUGG
rnacentral:rRNA from 1 species